rnacentral:lncRNA from 1 species
CUUCAAAGUAGAGUCCAUGGACCACUGGAGGCAUACAUAAUCAUUUCCCGAAGUGUGGGAAGAACUCAUUAGACUUUUAUUUAUUUACAUUUAUUUUUAAAUUACCUUUAAAGAUUUCCUAUAUAUAUUUAUGUUUUACAUUCACUAAGACUUAUAAGCACUUAAUAUUGCCAGGCACUAUUCUAAGUGCUUUAAAAUUAUUACCAUUAUUUAACUCUUACAGCAACUCUGUGAAGCAGAUACUCUUACCAUACCGAUUUUACUGAUGAGGAAAUUGGGACGCAGAGAUUAUGAAAAUGAGAUCAUAUGGUGUUGGAAAUAUUUGAGCUGAGACUUAAACCCAGGAACUGAAUGCUGCUGACAAAACUACAUGAGUGAGGAAGUGGAUGCUUCCCCAGACGAGCCUCGGAUGAGACCACAGCCCCAACUCACACUUCAGUGCCUGCCUUGCAGAGGACCCAGUUCAGUUCCACUCAGCCUCCUGACCCAGAGAAAGUGUGAGAUAAUAAAUGCACACAGAGGCCUAUUCUGUUGAUAGGCCAAUGACACGUGAACAGGAAGGACAUGUCACUUCUAAGUGAAGCCUUUGGUUGAACGCAGUUGUGCUGUUUGACUCUCCAGCCCUCGGCUCUCUUGUUGUCAUGAUCAGGAAGGCCACGUGUUCCAGAUGGCACUGCUACAAGAUGGCAGAGCCCCUGUCGGCCGGGAUUACUGCAUCAUGGCUGCAGAGCCCUUGCCAACCCAAGUUG